GACGAACGCUGGCGGCGUGCUUAACACAUGCAAGUCGAACGGAAAGGCCCCCAUCUUGGUGGGUGUGCUCGAGUGGCGAACGGGUGAGUAACACGUGGGUGAUCUGCCCUGUACUUCGGGAUAAGCUUGGGACACUGGGUCUAAUCCCGGAUAGGACCAUGGUUUAGUGUCUCAUGGUGGAAAUAUUAUUGUUUUGGUGCAGGAUGAGCUCGCGGCCUCUCGGCUUGUUGGUGGGGUAAUGCCCUACCAAGGCGUCGACGCGUAGCCGGCCUGAGAGGGUGGACGGCUGAAUGGGGACUGGGACACGGUGCAGAUGCCAACGGGAGGCAGCAGUGAGGAAUGGUGGAAGAUGGGAGCAAGCCUGAAGGAGCGACGGCGUGUGGCAGAUAACGGGCUUCGGGGUGGAAACUCUUUGCGUUAGGGACGAAGUCGGACUUUUUUUGGGUGUGGUGACGGGACAUUGGUAAAGAAGCACCGGCUAACUACGUG
rnacentral:rRNA from 1 species